UACAGAGGUCUCAAGCGUUGUUCGGAUUCAUUGGGCGUAAAGGGUGCGUAGGCGGCGCGGUAAGUCGGGUGUGAAAUUUCGAGGCUUAACUUCGAAACUGCAUUCGAUACUGCCGUGCUUGAGGACUGGAGAGGAGACUGGAAUUUACGGUGUAGCGGUGAAAUGCGUAGAUAUCGUAAGGAAGACCAGUGGCGAAGGCGGGUCUCGUGGACAGUUCCUGACGCUGAGGCACGAAGGCCAGGGGAGCAAACGGGG
rnacentral:rRNA from 1 species